rnacentral:rRNA from 1 species
UACGAAGGGGGCUAGCGUUGUUCGGAUUUACUGGGCGUAAAGCGCACGUAGGCGGAUCGAUCAGUCAGGGGUGAAAUCCCAGGGCUCAACCCUGGAACUGCCUUUGAUACUGUCGAUCUGGAGUAUGGAAGAGGUGAGUGGAAUUCCGAGUGUAGAGGUGAAAUUCGUAGAUAUUCGGAGGAACACCAGUGGCGAAGGCGGCUCACUGGUCCAUUACCGACGCUGAGGUGCGAAAGCGUGGGGAGCAAACAGG